rnacentral:rRNA from 1 species
CGUGUAGGCGGUUUGGUCAGUCAGAUGUGAAAGCCCUGGGCUUAACCCAGGAACUGCGUUUGAUACUGCCAAGCUUGAAUUCGGGAGAGGUGAGUGGAAUUCCCAGUGUAGAGGUGAAAUUCGUAGAUAUUGGGAAGAACACCGGUGGCGAAGGCGGCUCACUGGACCGACAUUGACGCUGAGGCGCGAAAGCGUGGGGAGCAAACAG